AUUGUACUGACUGCUGUAUCACCCUCUGCUCAUCUACACUGAACAUCUCAACAUUGAAAAAAUAUUUCUGGAAUAAGCACUCUAACAUCUAUGUGUUUGGAAUUGAAGUGAUGUCACUGAUGAGUAAAAGUCAGGAGAGUUCCUCGGGGAUUUGAUGACUGGGUCUGGUGCUUUGGAUUGCAGGCUGGACUGUGUUCAACGAGUCAUUAAAAAAACAAAAACCAAAAGAAAUUGGGAACUCCUGUCAGUUGAUGUUCCUAUCUUCCUUGUGCACAGAUAGACUUCAAAGACUUUCAUCAUGUUACUUCUGAUCCCAUUUACUAGAAUACACUUGUUAUGAAGGCAUGUAGGAAAGCUGAUUACUCUUA
ensembl:lincRNA Gm12637 predicted gene 12637